rnacentral:rRNA from 1 species
UACGUAGGUGACCAGCGUUGUCCGGAUUUACUGGGCGUAAAGGGCGCGUAGGCGGGAUGGCAAGUCGGUCGUGAAAUCCCUCGGCUCAACCGAGGAACGUCGAUCGAUACUGCUGUUCUUGAGGAUUGCAGAGGAGACUGGAAUUCCCGGUGUAGCGGUGAAAUGUGUAGAGAUCGGGAGGAACACCGGUGGCGAAGGCGGGUCUCUGGGCAAUUCCUGACGCUGAGGCGCGAAAGCGUGGGGAGCAAACGGG